CCCGCGCCCGCCCGCCGGCCCGCGUGCUGCAGCCGCCGCGGCCCGGGCGGGGCCGGGGGUGGGGGUGGGUUCGCUGGUUUGGAGGGUGGGUGGGGUUGGCUGUUUCUGGAAAGCUCAGCGGAGCUAAUCUAAUCUUCCAAGGCGCGUCCGCUGCCCGAGAGCAGCGCUCACAGUCCGCAGCGCCGGGAGGGCUCCGCGGCCUCCCCCUCCCGGCUCAGUAGAUCCAGAUCGUGUGAGUCUCUUUUAUUCCCGUUUUGCACGUGAGGCCACGGAGGCCGGGAUAGACCAGGAUCGCACACGUCUUGGGGGCCUACUCCGGACUCAAACCUACGUCUCUGUGACUCCAAAACUCAUAUUAUACUAUGACCUAGUAUUUGCUGGUGUAAGACGAAUGGUUCCGCUUUAGCGCAGAUGCAAGCGCCACCUUAUUUGGAGGACAGGCAGGUAGAUCUGCAGCUGUAAAACCCGAGGCCCCGAGGCGGGCUUGCACAGCUCCCCCGGCUCUCCGUCCACGUCCACGUCUCUGCUGUCCGCUGCUCCUAGAGCACCUUUCGACUCUUGGAAACAGGUAAAGAGAAAUCUGCCCUCCGGCAUCUUCACCUCCAACUACGUUUGUUGUUUCCAGCUGCUAAAAAUUGGUACUUUUAGAAGUCAAUCGUCCUGCCAGUUACCAAGGGUCGGGGCUCCGGUGAGUGCUGAUUUGGAGACGGUUGGAAGCAUCGUGGCCAAGCCUCCUCCCUGGCACCUGGCGAUUCUGUCCUUCAAGUCCCUGGGUGUGUGCCCUCAGCAAAUACUAACCCACAGAGUGUGUUGCCAACUCCAGUCAUCUGUGCAUUUGCCCUCUGGGGAUGGAAAGCUGGAGGAAAUGCCAUUUCCUAAUCUCCUUGGGGCUUGGACCGCAAGAUAUUUUUGCCCGGUGGGGUGGGUGGAAGCCUUCAGAGAGUAA
rnacentral:lncRNA from 1 species